AGCACUGUCUUCAUCUGUGUCUUCACAGUUCGGUACUGCACAUGGGAUAUUAAUUUCUUAGAAUCAAUAGUGUCCGGAGAAACGGACAUUGCGACAAGGUAUCUUUACCUAUCCAUCACUCAAUCACGAAUAUAUUGUCUGUGUUUAAGGAAAAGGUUAUUUGUAUGGUGAAUUCAUAUUAACGAUCAAUAUCACAAACUUUUAUUUCAAAUCGGAUUUUGCAUUGAUAGGCUGGGCCUAUAGCGUAAUCGGAUCCUGAUACUGUAGUCAUUGUUUCCAACUCAGAGAGCCAACCGCAUGCGUUGUAAAUGAUUCGAAAAAGGAACAGAUGUUGUGAAUAAUUAGUAGUAACAAACUUAUAUGAUUUUUUACAAGUGCAACACGGACACAUAGUUAUGUUAAUUAAUGAGACGCAAUGAACAAUGAUUGUCGAUAAUUUGAAUCUUUUGAAGUUCAAAGGUUACACGUGAAUGCCUCAUUCCUCUACUAGUUGAAAGUUAAUUUGUCUAACCGGUGGUUCGUUAUAAGUUCUGACUAUUAUCUACUCUAAAAUGGAAGCAAAUCACUUCACUAAGGUAAGAAAUGCUUAUAAAAUCUUGCUGUUUUAAAAAAAUAAUGGCUAAAAAAGUUCUCAAGACUAUUCGUUAAAAUUUCUGUUCAAUACCAUCUUGAAAUUAUUUUGUCGCAAUGUUUAUAUUGUUUUUAUAUGUGUCUUUCCAUGUUAAGGCUUGUGUUCGACUUAUAAAGUAAUCAGUAUGGUCAGUUGGAUGGAAACGGAAAUGUUAAGAUAAGUAGAUAAGAAGCAUUAACACUGAUGUGUCAAAUAGCCUUGGCUUCAGAUUUUGUAAUUACUCUUAUGGUGUGCCUGUAAGUAAACCUACAGGAAAGUCCUUCAUUAAAUAAAUAUAAGUGUAAUAAAAGAAGUUCUCGGGAGAAAAUCAAUUUUAUCCAUAAAAUCAUCUUAUCUUACUUGAAUGUUGCAUGUUAAUGUCUUCAACGUCAUGACGUCAUUAUUUGUAAUUUCAUAAUGUAGAAGGAGGCAGGUGCGAGUGCGCUCUGUUGAAGAGUUAAUGCAAUAUAAAGUGUUAUCCCUUAUCCGAAAUACUGUUUUCCCACAUUUGACCGCCAUUAACUAUACUUAAUGGAAAAUAAUUUACUCUGAAAUAACACUUUAUAGCUUGUGGUUUUAUGAGGUGCGGGAAAAGUUGUCCCAUUUGUUAUAUUUCCAUUAUACUGAGUAAGUCUUGGACAAUCGGUUAAAGAAAUGUUCCUUGCACAUAUUAAAAAAGCGAAAACGGUAAAGUUUUUUUUCUGUAUCUAUAAACGUUAGAUUUAACAAACUUUAACAGAACAAAACGGUCUCAAAUUUAAAACACGAAUUUACAAGUAUAUUCUGUAAAAUUACAAUUGCUACAAUCCUUUUAUUUUUAUUAGUAAUUUUAUAAAUCUAUAUAUUAAUUAAUCAACCAUUGUUCAUACUUAUGACGUCAUCUUAUUUGCAUAUAUUAUGGUGAAAUGAGAUAAGCCUUCUUAUUUUGUCUCCGACCAAUGAAAAAUAUUCAUACAAUGGUUCAAUUAUAAAUACCCGUAAUAUAAAUAAAUAACUUGGAAUUUUUGUACCGGUUUAUCUAGUAGUUAGAACUUUCAAUUUAAACCUAAGCUUAAUCAUAAUAGUUAAGCGAUGGUAAGCAAAUACAAAUUUGAAUUUUGUUGUUUUCAAAGGAUAAUAAGAAAAUAGCAGUGAUCACAUGAUUUAUCAACUCACCUCUGAAGACAACAAUUGAUGUUGUUUAUUUUCUUGGAUAAGUAUAAACAAAUUGAAUAACUCAUGUUCUGAAUAGAAAGGAAAGAAGAUAUAAUUUGGACAUUCAAACGAAUAUGCAGAAGACAAACUGACAACGCAAUAUAAAAAAAAAACCGAUCAAAAGACAAACAACAGUACACAUAACAAAAUAUUAAAAAAGUAUAAUAACAAAAAUACCUUACUUAAAGGGAAAUUCUAAACGGAAAGUUAAUAUGCAAAUGGCAAAAUCAAAAGCUCAAAAAUAUCAAACGAAUGGAAAACAAGUGUCAUAAUCCUGACUUUGAACAGGCAUUUUCUUGUGUAGAAAUGAAGGAUCAAACCAUGUUUAUAUACUGAUUUAAAAAUAGAAAAAUAAACUGACCAAAACGAACCCCAUUUAAAAAGUGUGGUCUCGGGUGUUCUGGAAGAAAGGGUUUCAUUUGGCACAAAACUAAAAUAACUUGAAGUAUUUUUCUUAUUUGAAAGGAUUCAGCAAUUUACCUUUUUCCCCAUUUCGAGGCCAAAGAAAUACUCUUAUGUAUCUUCCUCUUUAUAAGAAUGAACCAAUGAGGUUAAAAUAUAACCACGUUGUUAAAACCUAGUAGUGUUCUAUAUUUAAAACAAAACUUGGUUUGCUAUAUGUCGGAAUUCAUACAUUACAAGCCCUCUCAUUAAACUGGCUAUUAAGCUAGGUCUUACCAACGUAGCUGAUACACCAUCUGAUAAUUGGCAUAUACAACUAUAAUAUUUCAGAUUUGAUCUUACAAAUAUGCUUACAACAGAUGUCUGCGAAGCUUUAUAUGAAAAAUAUUCAUGUAUUGACUGUUGAUCAUAAAUAGGGAAAACAAGUGUUGAUGUACUAUGACUUUUCAUCAUUACGAUUUAAUCGUGUUAGUGCGUAUACUCUUAAAUUGCUUUUGAGGGUAUGUUGUUAAUUUCUGUUUUUUGUUUUUUUCCCUUGUUGGUUCAUUUUACUUGCAAUCAGCUAUAGACUUUGUGUUAAACUAUUUUUAAUGCAUAUAGUAAAUAGUAUACAAAUAUAUUUAUAUAAUAAUAAGCUGACUAGCAAUUUUGACCACAACAAGUACAAAUUCCUAUGGUCAUAGACCGAAUUUAGAGCAAGUAUGUCAUUAUUUGUUACAUAUACAAUCUCAGACAUAAUGGCUGUAGUAUAAAAAUUGAGGCUGUACAAUUUCAAAUAUUUGACUUUGCAAUAUGAAUGAUGUCACAAAAACUAGAAAAAGAUAGAAGAAAAAGAAUUUUGAAAGUUCAGUUUAUAAUUGUAUGAAAAAGGAACUAAAUCUAUUCUUGUAAGUUAAGAAAUAAAGAAGAAAAAAAUAGAAUUUUUUCAAUUGUGUUGAUGUAUUUUAGUGGAUAUUUUGAACUAACAUUUUGUGUUCAAUAGUCAGUAGUAGUUAAGUAUAUUGAUUUGAUUUUUAUUUUUAAAUUCUAUACGUUAACAGCACAGCAUUGACUGAUUCAAAUAAUAUGAGCACAAUAACUCGCUACGUUGUAUCCCCAAAAAGAAAAUCCUUUGUUUGGAAUAAUUUUGAUUAAAGUGUCACAAACCAAAAUGUAUUUCUUAAUACUAGUAUGCAUUGUAUCUGUCCUAUAAAAGUUUAACUACUAUUUCAUCCAAAUAGAAGAAAGCUUGAUCUAUUACAUCUGAAUCAUAAACAACUAACAACCUACAAUUACCUCACAACUAUCUUCAAAAGUCCAUGGUUUUUGCUUGGGGAAAAUUAGAUGAAAGAAGAAGGACCAAGUUUGGAGGCGAGGAAAUUUAACUGUAAACAGAGCACAUUCACUUAGAGCAGACAAUUUGCUUUACGGACCGCUCGCAUAUUUGUUCAUAGUUUUUUUCCAACAUUGUGAGAUAAACUCAUCAUAGAUACCAUGUUUAAAUUUUGUAUUUACGCAAGACGCGCGUUUCGUCUACAAAAGACUUCUCCUUAAAUUGUUCUCUUAGAUAUGUUUUUUUUUCAUUUUUUUACCUCUAGUUCGUAAUCACAUUUAUUGAGCAUUAUGAAAAAUUUCAAGGUAACAUAAUCUGUAUUCGGAUUUAACUACUCCAGCGAACCUUGAAUAAUUUUAACAGGGGGCAUCAGAUUAAACGGCAUCAUUGCAAACUUAUAAAUAGCUUCACUUAUAAAACAUAUUUUUUGUAAACACCCCUUAAAUCAAACAUACGUCUCACAGCAAGUGACUAACUGUAACAGAAACGAGAAAUGUCAAGAUUACCAGUCGCUUUUAGUCCUUUUUUCAAAAUACUAGUACUAAGAACGUUCUACCCACGAAUAGAUCACCUUAGCUGUAUUUGGCACGCUUUGUAAGAUGUCAAUACAAUAUAUAUCCCUUUUCCAAAGGUACUAUAAGCUGCAAUCAUGUAUGUAUUGUAAACUUUUGGAUACUAUUCUUGCAUUUGUAGGAUAAAGCAUUUGUAUUAAAAUAGUAUCAAAAUAAAAAUAAAUAAAUACAUCUGAAAUUGUCAUUGAAAAUUUUUAUAUAAAUCUUCAUAGAUUACGUCAGGGAAUCUUAAACUACAACAACAUUUUACUCUGGUGAUAAAUCAGCAAACAUAUACGUGUAUAUGCAUACAAUAAAGACAAUCGAAUUAAAUUGGAAAAUGUUUUGAAAGACCACUUAAAAAACAUGACGCUUUAUCACUGCCAAUUUUACAUUGAUUUAUCGCAGUUACCUCUACAUUAAAUUUGAAAUUGUUUUGAGAAAAUAUUCUAUUUAAACUCUGACGAAGUUUCUUUAUUAUCAUGAAUAUAAUGGGUGUAUGAUUCAAACAACAGAUGCUUUUAGUAUUUAUUGCUAAUAUGCAAAUUCACCAUUACUAUAAAUCGAUAAUGCCUUAAAACAUUGUAUUUUGGAUAAUAGACACACUUGUCCGAUUGAAUACUUUAUUUGUCAGUGUAAACAUACAUUAUAUCUUGGAGUACUUCAUUUAUAGAAUUCCAAGAUUUCACAUUUCAAAUCAAUGUUUAGAGAUUUUAAAGCUUUUUAGAAUAUUUUGAACAUUUGUUUGUUUUACGGUUUCGGCAAAUAUACUGAUUUAUGAUUUAUUUAUGAUUAUUUAAGAAAAUGAAUAUUUUAUCGCAUUUUACUUUGUAUGAAAUCAAUUUAAUGAUCUUGAAACUUUUAAUGUUAAUGUUUGAUUGUUGAUUGUUUCGUCUUUAUUGGUUGAAACAUUUUCAAAGUAUACAGUUAUACAUCUAAUAGAUUUCUUAUACUAAUUCAAAUUUUCAUGAUCAACUUGCUUUUCCAGUAGGUAUAAACAUAUAAAGCAGGUUUAGUGUUGCCAACGGGAACUUAUAAAUACAUUUUCAUAAAAAUCAUAAAAUAAAAACUCGAUGGCAAAUAUACAAAAGACGUAUAAAUAAAUAAACAAGUAAAUACUUAUAUACAUAAAUACAAAAGUUAAACUGAAAGAAGUUUAAAACAACACCACUUACCGAUCGUGCGUAUUUUGCGAAGUGUGUAUAGUCAGUCAAGUUCGUUAAACCCUUCCAUCAUCAUUACUUAGUAAAACGAAAUUAAGGUCAAUAAGUAAGAGGCAAUAGAAGUUUAUCUAUGUUCAAAACCAUUUUUAAUAUACUAACCUACUAGAGUAAACUUACCUAGCCGAAGAAAAAAAUAUGAGGGGAUCAUAUUGGUUCGUCUUCAUUUCUGUUCAACCUCUUGGCAAGUUAAAACUCAGUCAAAAAUAAACAAAAUAUAAUACAAUAUGAAAAUGAACAAUUGAAAAACUGAAAACCUCUUUUGUCACAAAAAUUAGCUCUCUACUUACUCUCACAUUUAAUUUCUGGAUAUUUUUAGCCAAGAUACGAAGUAGACCUAAUAUGUCAUUUUGACAUCCUUGUUUUUUUGUUGUACAUUGCACAAUGUUUACUGUUGUAUUAAUGACAUUUUGAACUUUGGGAAUCCUUUUGUAAAGAUUUCUCAACUACUAGUAUAUGGAUGUCAAUCAAUUUUAAACAAGACUUACACUAUGAAAAUAUGUUUCAAGUUAAAUUCUUUCACGGCAAGUUUAACCGUUUCUGUUCUGUGAGGUGAUUUUGAACAUCACAUCACAAUUCUUUACAAGACAAAAUAAAUUUGCAGACUGACAUUUUUCAUUACCGUAAAUGGAUAUUGCACCCUUUUUUUGUGGGAAUAAAUGCAUCCUUCGUGAAUGCAAAUUGUCUACUUUUAUCGACAACAUUACUAGAAAUGCAUAAGAAGUAAAAUAAUGAAGUAUAUGUACUGUUUGUAUUAUUUUACUGAAGAGUGAACAAAAAUCUCGUAAUCACAAUUACGUCUUAUUAUGGUCUGUUGAUUUUCGACGAUUCUUUACAAUGGGAUAUAGAAUACCACACCAAGAUAUGCAAAUCGUGUUAUUAUCGGAAAGUAAUUCUUGUUUAAGCGAAGUCGACAAUUCCUUAACUUACUGACCGGAUAUGAAUUUGUAAGCUCUUUCCAAAAACCAAGAAGCCUCAGUGGUUCUUGGUUAAACAAUAAUUCUAAUAAAAAGAACACUGUAUGUAACACUAUCUGUGUUGUAAUGUAUGAUCUUUCAAGUCUCAAUCCUUCUGCCAUUAUCAUGUUGUAGCACAUAUUGGCAUACCUGAUUUAGAUGAUCAUAAUCGUAUUUGGUACAGUUUUCGGAAUUUUUAUUUUUAAAUCUCUUCAAAGUCGUAUUUGGUUUAGACAUUCAACUAUUCUAAAUAGAGCGCAACAAAUAAGUUUUAUGUAGAUGAAAAGAUAGUCUAUAGAAACAAAUUAUAUAAGUUUGGUAAUUUGGAUCAUUGUCUAAUCCCUUGCAUAAAUUAGUAUUUUUUUUUCAAAUUCAAAACUUUAUUGCCAUAUAAACUUUACAGUUUACAACUAUAGUUUACCGUACGGCCUUCAACAAUGAGCAAGGGCCAUACCGCAUAGUCAGCUAAAAAAGGGCCCCGAUAUGACAAUGUAAAACAAUUCAAACGAGAAAACAAACGGCCUUAUUAAAAUAAAAAUUAGAUUAGAAAAAUGAAUUAUCUUCUAUGAUAAUGCAAUUAAAAAUAUGUUAAUCUAAUAUUUGAAUUAUGAGAACAAUUUAUUAAGAAAUGUUUCUUAUCAUCUAGUACUUUGCAUUUUUUCAAAGUCUGUCUUGUCGAGGAAUUUUAAAAUGCCUUCCUUUUUUCAAUUAAUAAUGAAUGGUCACUGUUUCUAAGUUUUGUGAACAUCAAACCUGUUGACGCUGUACGGUCUUAUGUUUUGCUCGACUAUCUUAUAAACUUGAGAAUAUCACCAGCUCAAUGAUUUAGUUGGCCAUCCUAUUAUUUUAAAUCUAGCGCCACUGAUAUCUUAUGAUGACGAAACACACGUCUGGUGUAAAAUGUUAUAAACCUGGUAUCUUUAAAGAGGUUUUUAAACAACAGCGUCAGUGCCACUGCCUUUGGAUGUUUCGGAGUAAUAGACUUGUUUUUGGGAUGACAUGAAAUACCAUUGAUGCUUGUUUUUUUUUAUAUACGAUUUUCUAUUAACCCAGGCAUAGAAAGCCUUAGUCGUAUCUUUAGACAACUUUUCGGAAUUAUUGAUUUUUAAUGCACUUUACUUUCGUAUUUGAUUUUGUCUGACAAUAAAUUGGAUACUAUGACCACUGAUGAGUCUUGUAUGGACGGAACGAGCUUCUGUCCUAGUUUAUUUCAUGAGGUUUUGCAAAGUCACUUGACAUCUUGAACAAACAUUUUCUAAAUAACUUUUCUUUUUGUAAAAUUAUGUUUAAGAUGUUAUCCGUUGUUGACAGGUGUCGUUGUAUGCAGCUUUUACAGGUAAAUAUUAAAAUCACAAAAAUACUGAACUCCGAGCAAAAUUUAAAACGGAAAGUCCAUCAAAUGGCAUUAUCAAAAGAUAUAACACAUCAAACGAAUGGAUACCAACUGUCCUAUUCCUGACUUGUUACAUGCAUUUUCUGAUGAACCUGGUUUUAUAGCUAGCUAAACCUCUUAACUUAGUUGUUCUGAGAUUUUAUUGACCAAACUUAAUGCUAUAUAUCUUUGUUAUUCUAUAUUUCAGCUGUGCAUAUUUCUUGUUUAAAUCGCCAUCGGUAAAGUCUGUCCAUAUUCUUUUCCACUGAUCUUAUUUCAUUUUAUCCAAGUUAUCUCUCCUUUCCCUCAUAUCGGUCACUUUGUACAAUGUACUACAACUACAGUUGCAAUAAGUUGCUUUUUGAAUCUUAAAUUUUAUGUGUAUGAACUUGAUUACAAAAACAAUUUUCAAUAUAUUAGCCAUACACCUUUUAGCAACCAUAUUUAGGCUAUGAGCAUGAACUAAAUAGAUAGAAUCUGAUCUCUUUUGUCAAAUUGGCUCUGUUCGUCAUGCCUAUGUCAAUUAGUAUUUCAGUGUGACUACCAAUGCGCGUACCGUACCUGUGGUGCGUACUAAAGUGGUAAAUUGUGUGUUAGUUAUGUCUUAUUAUUAUCUGGUGAGCUUCUUUCACAAUCGUGUUAGCUUCUUUAAUGGUAUUGUCUUCAGUAAGCACAUCUCUCUAGUUUGCGAAAAGAUAUACGGUGUUGUAAAACAAUUUUCACUUUAAGGAAAUCAAAGAAAUUAUUUAUUACCUCAGAAUUAUCUCUUUAAAUUUGAAUUUGCUGUGAUAAAAGCCACGCAUUUAUGCUAUAAACUGUAAUCUACUUUAAGAAAAAAAACCUUCUAAAAUGUGACCAUAAACAAUAUUUUUUUAACGUAGCAUAGAUCUUACGCAUGGCUAUAUUCUGAUUGUUUCCCGUAUAGAGUAUCGAACCCGUAGACAGUUUUAUACAUAUCUUGUCAAAAGUUCAUUUAAACUGAAUCUACGUUUCACUCCGAAUAUUGAUGAUCAAUAUCUAACAUCAAUAUAAUGUACCGUCCUGGUAUCAUGAUACUUAAAUGUGGGACCUGCAUGAAAGUAUGUCUCAUAUAUUAUUUUUCAAAACUUUAAUAAACUCAUCAUAGAUACCAGAAUGUUUAUGUACACCAGACGCGCGUUUCGUCUAUAUAAGACUCAUCAGUGACGCUAAAUUAAAAGUUGAAACUACCAAAUCGGAGAAAAAAAAGCCUUGAGGACUUCUGAGAAACAAAAAUUCAAAGUUUUUCGACAUCACUUUAAAGUUAACCGUUUAAUAUCAGUCAACUGUCCAUUGUCCAUUCUGUCGCUUAUGAUAAAAUUUUCCAACUUAUGUAUUUUAGUAGAUUUGGGCAAUGAAGUCAAUGAGAUGUCUUCUUACUGACUUAUUUAUUAAUCCAUAGUUGAAGUGAUUCCCUCGGUUUAAGUUUUUAACCCGGAUUUGUUUUUUCUCAAUUGAUUUAUGAUUUUUUGACUUUGAAUAGCAUUAUACUAUAUUGUUGCCUUUAUAUAUACAUGUAUACUAUUAAUUUAAACUUGAUCCCAUGAAUUUGUAUGGUUUUUCAUAAUAGCAAAAGGAUUCACUAAAUAGAAACCAAUCUGACAGUUAGUUAAUAUCACGGUGAUUACUAUGAAGUUUUCCUGAAAUACAAGACUAAUGUAGUUAUUGGAACGAGAUCACGGAUGGAAUCAACUUUCGCUUGAUAAUGUUUCAUUGACGAUAUAACGACAAAUGAAGAAUGAACAAACGAAACCUGAGGUUCCAAUGAACCCUCACGAGGUCUCAAAUUAUUUAAUUUUAUAAUGUUCUAAAGUUACAAUCAAAAUGAAAUCUAGUUAUUUCCUAUCAAGUUAGAAGUUUCAUUUUUUUUUAUGUAUUUAUAAUCAUCUGGUAAAAACCCGUGACAUAUAAUUAUGUUGAAUGAAAAUCCAUAAGAAUAUCAUAUUGAUAAGAAUAAAAUAAUUUAACAUUUGUGUGUAUUUGCCGCAUUUGUUUUUUGUUUCACCUAAACAAUUUCAUUUUUCAUUUUUUCGUAGCUUUUGUGAAAUUUGUUGGUAUUCAAUAGGUUUAAAUAUAUAAACUUGUUCCACUUUUUAUAUGUAAAGAAAUGUCGUCACAGAGUUAGUAUUCUUCCUCCAUUUUUUUUCAAUCUUCAUAUUAGAAAAUACAAACACAAAGCACAAAUAGCAUAUUCAAUAAUUAAAAUACAUUAAAAAUACAUAAAAACUACAAAACAUAAAUAUAUAAAACAAAUGAAAAUGUACCCCCAAAAAAGAAAGAAGCUUUGUUGGAAUUUACUAUAUUCCUUAAUAAAGGGAUCUGUUUCUCCAUUAGGCUUCAAUGAUUUCUCUUCAAGAGUAUUUCCUAUUAAUUUAUUUUUUUCUUUCUCAGGGUGUAACUUCUCAUUACCUGCAAAUCAAUGUGUUUCAUCAGUAUGCAUUGUAUAAUUUAUUAAUAGACAUGCAAAUUCUUAAUUAAGAAACGAACACAGUGAAAUAAAGAAUGCAUCACGAGGUUAUCAACAUGCAAAUAGGAUUUUGUAGUUAGUGUUAGGUUGAUGUUGUCAAAAUACGUAUUUCUGAACAAUCUUAUGUGAAAUAUUUAUUUACAAAAUACCAUGGAAAUAAUAUUUUUAAAAAUAUUGCUUCCAUUUAAAUACUCAACUCCAAGGUAAAUUCAAAAAAUAGGAAGUCAAUUCAAUAUAAACAAAAAUCAUUCGUUCCACUAUUUUAACCUACAGAACAAAAACAAAACAGCUGUCAUAUUAUAGACUUGGUUCAAGUUAGCCUCAUUCAUUGUAUAAGAAUAAAAUAAAGGGUGGUGUGUAUGUCAAAGGGACAACAGACCCAAAACAAACAAAAAUAGACAUUUGCUAGUUUAAAGCUGGAUAUUCUUAAAUAUUUCUGCGCACAGUUCUGUUUUGAUAUAUAUCAAUGUCGUGUAAUUUUGUUUUUUGGAUUCGAGCGUCACUGAUGAGUCUUUUGUAGACGAAACGCGCGUCUGGCGUAUAUACAAAAUUUAGUCAUGGUAUCUAUGAUGAGUUUAUUUGUACACCUGAUGUUUAUUCAGCAAGACGAAUCUAGAUAAUAUUCAUGUUCUUAUGAAGGAUAAGCAGUUACUGUCUCACUUCUGACACUCUCUGAACUAAUAUUCCGGAGAAAAGUAUCUUUCAGUCAAGAAAUGAAAUUCUCAAGAUAAAAGACUAUUUGUUGGCUACGCGCUUGUAAUAUCUAAAACCAUAUUUCAGCAUGGGUAUUUGAAAAGGGAGAGUGUGGUGAAAUCUGAAGAACUGUAUUUCAAUUCAUGGUUUAAGCAAUUUGCAAACAAGAUAGGCAAGGGUAGUUCCGAAUAUCGGACCUGAACGUUCUGAUAUAAUUUAGUCAACACUUUGCUGAAUGCAAAUUGUAAUGUGGUGUAUACAUGUCAUUUUAAAUGCAAUUUACUCAGUAAUCCAGCAAGAUGAGUAAAACAAAAUAGACAGCCAUACAUAAUUUAUUACCCUCAGAAAAUUCAGAGAAUCGUUCAGCUGUUUUUUGCAGUAGUACAUUACGCAUUUCAGAGUUAUAAAUAUUCAGUUUAUGUAGUAGUGCAUUUUAUUUGGUUAUACGUAUAUCUACGCUGUAUAAUACAAUUUCGACAUUCUAGUUAUGCAAUAUUAUCAAUAAGUAAAAGCAAUCGUUUGAAUGAAUUAUAAAUUUAGAAAAACAACUCUGAAUAAGUAAAUAAUCAAUUUUACCUAUAAAAAAGACCCGACUGCAACUAUCACUUACUCAAUAUAUUAUUUCUAGAUUACCGUUACCCAAAGUCAUUGUAUAUUGCUUUGUUCAUUUAUAACUGCGAUUUUAUUAAGCUGACCAAUACCAACUAUGCAUGCACGAAAGUCUAUAACAAAAAUACCGAACUCCAAGGAAAAUUCAAAUCAAAAGAUCAUUUAUCAAAUGGCAAAAUCAAAAGUUCAAACACAUCAAACGAAUAGAAACAACUGUCAUUUUCCUAACUUGUUACAGGUAUUUCCUUAUGUAGAAAAUGGUGGAUUGUAUAUAGCAACUUUCAUAAAAUGUACAAAAAACAAAUUCCUGGUAAUAGCUGACGUUUGAACUAUGGAUCCAUAAUAUUAGAUUCAAAAUUAUGAAGUAGGUGUAUAUAAGCCUCAUCUGCAUACAUGGCUAGUUCCGUAAUCUUAUGUUUGAUUAUUUUCUCAACUUUUCAUUAUUAUGUUAUUUAGCCUUUAGCUGGUAUAUGAAUAUUCGUAUAAUUAAGUAUUUUUGAGUAAUCCCCAAUAAUAACAAAUAAUACACCAUAAAUACUGAAGAAUAAUUUACGAAAGCGACAGUUAUAUGUUUUCUUGGUCGAAUUAGUUAUCAAAGGUACCAAGCUUAUAAAUGAAUACUCCAGACACGAGUGUCGUCUACAUAAGACUCGUCAUUGACGCUCAGAUCAAAAUAGUUAAAAACCAAAACAAGUACAAACUUGAAGAGCAUUGGUGACCCAAAAUUCAAAACAGUUGUGCCAAAUACGGCUAUUGUUAUCUAUGUCUGGGAUAAGACAAUCCUUAGUUUUCGAAUAAUUCAUACUUUGGCAAUAAGUAAAUUUAUAGUAAUGACCAUAUAAUUGAUAUUCAUGUCAACACCGAAAUACUGAUUAAUGGGCUGGUGAAACCCUCGGGGACGAAACGUCCUCCGGGGGUGGCAUCCACCCAGUGCUGUAAAUAGUUAUAAAAGGUACCAGGCUUAUAAUUUAAUACGCUACGCUCAGAUCAAAAUAGUUAGAAAGCUAAACAAGUACAAAGUUGAAGAGCAUUAAUGACCCACAAUUCCCAAAUAAUUGUGCCAAAUACGGCUAAGGUUAUCUAUGCCUUGGAUAAGAAAAUUCUAAGUAUUUCGAAUAAUUCUUACUUUUGCAAACAGUAAAUUUAUAGAAAUGACCGAAACCGUUUAAAGAUUUCUAAAAACGUUUAUUGAAAAUGAUUUCAGUUUCUAUAUUUCUAAAAAUAUGAGUAAAACUACAAUGAUAGUUCAAAGGAGGUAAAGUUUUGAAGAUACUAGUAGCAUAUUAACUUUGGAUUCCCUUAAUUACUGUCAUACUCACAACAUGCGCUGUGAAACACGUAAUUAUGAAGUGAAAAGUCGGGAAUAAAUAAAAUUAAACAGAAAUGUAAGUAUAUAAGAUAAAACUAUAUAUUUUUUUAUCAAUGAUAAAACGGUCUUAACUCGUUAAAAGCUACAUUGUUUUAAAAGUGUACAACUUGCAACAUGAGGAAAAUAUUACAUAACCAUGCUAAAAUAUCAAAUUAUAUUAAAGUUUUUAUGACCCAUCAAAUAAAAUGUGUGUACAGCUAUGUAAAUUUUGAGACAUUGGAAUUUGAAAUAAGACGUUGACGACGCAAAUGGUCGUGUCGUUUUUUUGUUGUUGCUGUUAUGUUACAUAUACAAGUCUAAAAUAACUUUCUAAAGCAUAGAGAGAAACUGUUUCGUGAUCAUUUCCUAUUCAAUUGUAGAUUUUGUGGUAAAAAUGUGUUGAAAUUUUCACUUAUGAAAAGAGAUCUGUGCCAUUUUUCUGGCUAAUAAAUUAUUCAAAAUGGAAAUGGUAUUAUCACUGCAACUGUUUUAAUACCUCUGGGAUAGAACUGACAAUAAAUGUUGGAGAGGGAAUAUUCACUUCUAUUAUUCACUUUUAAAAUCAUCAGAUUUACAGCUUGGAGUCCCAUGUUAGUCGUUAUCAAGAGAAAGGCACCAAAUUAGGCGUGAUCAUAAUAAAUAUUCUUGCAUUUUAUCGUUAUUACUUCACACUUUGGUUUGGAAUAGACUGUAUAUUCCCAAUAAACUUGAUGAAAACAAUCACAAUUGUAAAUAAAAAAGUUAUAAGUUAGUUGGACUUAAUUCUUCUGAAUUGCGAUCGAUGCAGAUAUUUUAUUGAAGAAAUAAUAAAGAAAAGCUUCAAUCUUUAGAUGAAAUGUCGUAUAACACUGCAAUCCUGCGUGUUUGCACGAAAGUUGUGGAUCAAAAUUAGUCCUGUUUCCGGAAUCCAUACAAUUCAUCCAACAAUCUUAAUUAAAUCGAAAAAUACUAGAGGGAGUUCGCGUAUUUAUGGUUUAAGCUUACCAAGAUUUUGCCUUCUUUGGCUCAGUGAUAUAAAGCAAAGGUGAUGUAUUACUAUGAUCACGAUAUCACUUUACUGCUUUGGCUAAUUUCCUGAUUAGUGAUGUAAUUAUAGAACCUUAAAAAGAAAAGUAAAAAGUAUCAGAAGAUCAAUAUAAAGAAAAAUGAUAUGUUUAAUAUGAUUAUAUUUGCGGCAGCAACUUUUAUGAAUUACAGGUAUUAAUUACAGGUAUUAAACCUGACUGAUGUUCCUCUGUGAUACACUACACCAUCAUCAAUAACAUGAAAUUAAGACGAUAUAUUUUCUCAUUCCGUGAGAGGAUUAUUAAAGUUAUCUAAUAUGCCAGAGAAAGAUUGUGCCAUGCUGAUAUGUGUUUGUCCUUUGUUCUUUGUAUGUUCUGGCGUGACCCGAGACAUUUGGAGUUAAGAUUGGAAUUGGGCUCAAAUAAGGAAGCUAUAAAUCUUUUUCACUACAUGAAGAAGUAAUUGGUACUAAUUAAAAUUCAGGAAAUGUUUAAGUUAAGUAAUUCCUUUAUUCUCUGACUUGUAAAAAUAUAUUCAAAUGAGUGGGUUUUUUUUCCGUGUUCAUCCAAUUAAUGCUCUGAAACGUGUGAGGUAGUCAUCAAGACUGCUAGACUCAUGACUAACUAAGUUAAUUUCAACAAGUCAAUGCAGAUGCAUGCUCACUCUUAAACAUUUUGCAUUCCUAUAGUAUAAAUAUGUAAGAAUAAGACUAUUUCUAAAUCAAGUGUGUAGAGUAUCUAUAGUUUAAACCAUUCUGCUUGAUGUUAACCUGACAUACGUUAAAGGUUUUCUGAUUAUAUAUUUCGUUGUCUUUGAGAAUUAGGCUGUCUUUCUCUGUUUCUUCCUGGAGAUAAACGGUAUACAAAGGCUAGUAUGAACAAUGUGCUAAUAUAGAAAAAACCAAGGACCAGACACUAUUUACCACUGACCAGGAUACUUUCAAACUUUGCUUUCUUCUACAUGUAAAGUUACUGAGACGCACAAUUUUGAAAAUAACAAAGACAUUAUUACUAUCAGCAAUGAGGAGUAGGCACAAGGAAUGUCUAUGUAUCAAGUCGAAUAUAUUGGUACAUAUAGUAAAUAUUUAAGCCAACUUCGGAACGUCCGCCCAGCUGAGGCAUUGAUAGUAUCCAUUAAACCAGGAGACCACAACAAUUCUAAUUACUAGCCUAAUUUACUAAUGCCGUAAGGUUAGUGUAAUUAAUUUCAAUCAAAGCUAUGUCCGAUACUGAAAGAUUUAUAAAAGAUGCAUGGCCUUCUUCAGCGUAUUUAUUGAUUCAACUCGACAUGUUUUCCUCUCUUAGUUUUAAGUUUAACCAUUGACCUCAAUGUUACAAUACUGUAUUCAAACUGCUCUCCGUUAGUCCUUGCUCAAAGACAUAAUUCUUUACCAAAUAUAACAAAAAAAACUUAAGUCAUACAGUCGUAUAUACUGUGGCGAAACGUCUUUGAACAAUCCAUCGAUCUUAGUGGAUUUUUGACACGAACAUAAGUCGAUGAUGGGACUACAUGUUUUCCCCUUGUAGCUUUAAGACGUCAAGUCGUUAACAAUACUGGCUCGCUGCAUGAAUUAUGUAUUUCAAUAGAGAUUUCUACCCUAAAAGAUCGAUCUUACUUCACGAACUGACUUUUUUAAAUCCCUAGUGUAUUGUCAAAGCUUCCUUAAUGAAAUAAGUGAUUGACAAAGAAUCUCUGGAGCAGGAAUAAAAUUCACACUUCAUAUUGAGUUCUUUAUUUGAGCAACAAUUACAUACGAUUUACUUCUUUUCUGUUUUCGAGGAAAUUAAAAACAAAUCGUAUAUUUCUAUACGUGAUAUAAAUAAAAGAAAUUCAAUUUCUCCUGAUUAAGAUGAAUUUCUACUGGUUGUUUAUCAGACAUGCAACAAUGUAUAGACAUUUUUAAACUUGUUAUCCUCGUUUUUUUAUUCUGAAAUCCUUUUAAAUAAAACAAAUAAUAAAAUCUAUUUUUAAAGACUAAAUAAAAAAAUACACGUCUUUUAAAACUGAUAACUUUAUUUUUCUGAUGCAGUUUAUGGUAAAGAGUUCGCUUAUCUAUCCGUUUUCAGCAUGAGACAUGACGCAUGGGCUGGUAUCCUCAUAAUAUAAAUAUGUAUUUAAAAAAAAAGAGCAGCACGUAAUAUCAGAAAAUUGAAUUAAGAAGUUUUAAACCACACGUACUUCUACAGGACGGUUUCCAGUAGUUCAAAUUGUGUGAACCUUUCCUCGAUUAUUGUCCGUAUAAAUUAGAUAAUAAUGUGAAUCGGACUAAUAAAUUGGAAAAUAAUUAAAUUUCAGUACUGAAACAACCAUUCUUUUAUUUUAUUUUCUGUAUGUAAAUCUUCCUUGAUGUACGAUAUUUAUACUAGUCUCUGUUUCGGUCAUUAUAUGCUAGAUAAUUGUAAGAAUGUCCUUAUUUGUCGGUAAUUUGUCUUUUCAGAAGUUAUGGCGUGUUUUAACGGUUGUAAUGUCACUUUUAAGUAAUUCAUUUACCAAAGAAAGUUGUAAAUUAAUAAAACUGUUUAAAUUUUUACUCCAUGUUUCAUAAAUUUCUUAGAAAACAAAUAAACUUGCCGUUACCACAAUUAAGGAAAUCAAUUUAACCAAGGCGGUAUUGUUGACUGAAUGCGGAGAAGAAUAGAUUACAAUUGUUGAUGGGACAUGAUGUAAUGAAUGAGUACAAAAGCCCAGGACAGAUGAGCUCCUAAGUCAAUGUUGAUCUUUGCACCAUACUUGGCUCUCUCAUAAGUCAUGUCAUUCACUGCGGAUUGAUUUUCGUAUUUUAAUGGUUAUCCUAUUCAAUGUUUAAGUGUUUUUAGUUUACAGUGUUAAUGGUUUAGAUUUUUAACUAUGAUCGUAAAUUGGCCCCGCAGAUCAAACUGAAAAUAGAAUAUUUGACAAAUUGUUUUUCGAGUUUUAUUGACUUAAGAAAUGAAUAAUGACAUUGCUGUCAAAACAUUCCAAUAGGCUUUGUUCUCUAACUCGUUUGGGACUAAUUUAGCAACAACCUCAAUGAACACAUAUUUUUAACGGUUUUUUGUAUAAACUUUGAAAUUAAGUGGUCUAAAAAUAGAGUUCACGAUGUGUUUGUUUAACUCCGCAACUUGAAACAAACUUGAGUACUAGAAUUGAAGUUGAAGUUCAUAAAAAAAAGAAUAUAUAAUGAUAGGAAUUGUAAGGUCUUGUAUGAUUUCCAACGAGUGAACUCUCCAAUCGAGACCAUAUCACGUAGACGUUUGAAACAAUAUAGCAUUUGUUCACACCUGCCCUAAGUCAGGAACCUGACAUUCAAUGUUUUUUAGUUUGUUGAUACUUGAUGUGGUUCAUAAGUGUUAUUUGUUUCGUUUUUUUAUAUAUAUAUUAGAACGUUGGUUUUCGUGUAUGAAUGGUUUUAUACUAGUCGUUUUUGGGGGCCUUUUGUUGCUUGCUGUUAGGUAUGAUCCAGGGUCCAUAUUGCAGACCGUACUAUGACAGUCUAUAAUGGUUUACUUUUACAAAUGAUGACUUGGAAUGAGAGCUAUCUCAUGGGCACUCAUACCACUUCUUCUUAUAUAUCUAUAGAAUAAUACUCAUAUAUUAUCUAUCUGCAAAUGCAAGAAUACAUUUUAAUGAAUUUAGGAGAUUUGUUUAGGCAACCACUCCAGUGUAUAGUGCUUUCUUUCAGGUUAUAUGAUUGCUUUGAUUUAUAACAGAACUAAGUUGAAACGUUAUUAUGAAGUCUCUUAUCAGUGUAUUGUGCAUUGAAUAUCGUUUUAUGAUACCUGAUUUCUGAUGAAUAUGUGUUACUAUGCAAACAAAUACUGAGUUUUAAAGUAAAGUGUCAACUGAAUAAAAAAAAUAUACUAUUUAUCUGUAAAUGGCGGAAAUGAAAUGUUUGUUUUUGGCGCAAAUGAAAUAUGGUUUGUGGCCCAAAUAAAAGUUUUUUACGCAAAUAAAAUGCCAACUGGAGCAAAAGCAAAGCACCGAUUUAAAAUAUGGUAUAAGUGUAGAAAUGAUUUAAAUUGCUCAAGUUAAAUAAUUUAAUCCAUAAAGCUGACACAGAGUUCAGCCUGAACAGUUCCCUUUUCAACAACCAGGUUUUUUUUUAAAUAGCUUUGAUGAAAUUGAUUUUGCAUAAGUAAAUUGAUUUUUUUUGUUUCUUCUGUUCACAUAAGCAGAUAAGCAGUUUGGAUACAAUGCUUAAAAAUUACAUUAUAACAGUAAACUCAAUCUGUUUGGAAAAUAUUCUUUGCACAAAAAAUAAAUCUAUAUAGAAAGUGGCCUUUGAAUCAGCGAGUAAAGAGAUGCGCUUACGAGUUGGCGAAUAUGGUAGAAGCAAAGACAUUUUUACAUUCAACUGCCACUUUUACCUUUUUCGGUGUACCUCCUUGCCCCUUAAAAAUCCCGAAUCAACCUUUGAACAUCGAUGUUAUUUAACUGUCCCAACAAUUUUUAAGAUAUCCAUAGACAUAAUACUUUUCUGAACUUUUCCAUAGGGGAAAAUUGCUCUUUUAUGAAAUUGUCAUACAUGUUGUUACAUCGGCACCUUGAAAAAAUCCAAUUCAAUCCGGUGCAUUCUUGGAGCCGUCUUAGACUUGCAUUUAGGUUCGAGCAUUGAUCAGCACUGUAUUGAGGGAAUCACAUGCCUUAAGAUAAAGAACAGUAUUAUAAAAGCAAUGUUCAUUUGCUUUUGGGUUUUUACGCCAUAUUCCCUUUUCUAUUAUAAUUUGUGUACAGUUCAAUCAGACAACAUGAUAUAAUUACUGUGCAUUGUUCUUUAUCAAGGUUAGUAUUUGGUAUUGGCACGGCCUAUUUCAAAUAAAAGAAAAUCGAGGAACCCCAUUGCAAAUUAACAGCACGUAUAGUGAGUGGAUUGUCGCAUUAUAGUUGAAGUCUUUCUCCCCGGGAUUUCAAACAGAAUAUCGGUAUACAUGUUUGUGAACACUUGUCUUUUGUUGACCACCAUUUUUUGACAAAUUGAUGUCUUGUUCGGUUUUUAUUGCUGCUGUUGGCUGUCUCAUUGAUAUUUACCCCCAUAUCUACGUUCAAUUAUUGAAAAUGCAAGUGGUUGGCAAAAUAUCUCUAUGUACCUCAUUUAAAAUAUGUUGAUAAAUCCUUGCAGUUAUUUAGAAAAUAGUUGAGAAGGUCACAUGUAUCUGAACUAUAACAGACUAUUGCCACAUCACACAGUUUGUUCGUAUGUCUAUCCAUAUGUCGACUUAUAUAUAACUUUGUGUUAGAAAAAAAAGUUUCAUUGAGAAGGAGAGAGCGGGUAUGCUAUAUAUAUAGGUAUGCGUAGUUCAUGGGUGAUGUGUAUAGAAUUUAAAUGGUUUUAUGAUACCUUAUGUGAUAUAGUAUUUUUUAUUGCAGUUUGCUAUAUAUCGACUAGAAAUGAAAAUAAGUUCCCUGAUUCAAUUCAGUGCCGAGAAAUUUUGAUUUAAAUAAUAUUUCUUCAACCUUUUUUAUAAAAGAUUUUAUGUCCGUUCCAACUAAAAUGGUUUUAUUAAAACUGAUUACUGCUAUCACAGAUGACAUGCUAGUUGCCCUAUAGAUAUUUAUGAAUAACUGUAGAAAUAUCGUAAAUAACUGUAUAAUUUACGCUUAAUCUAUAUCACAUAAUUUGAACAUAAUAACGUAAAUUACUAUGGAUAUCUCUCUUGUUUGGGAAAUCGUGUGUAAAACUGAAUUAUUCUCCAAAAAUUAUAGUCUUCCGAUUUUAAACAUGGAGUCAAUUUGUGAUGAAGUGAAUGAAUGGAAUUAAAGUUCAAUGAACACGAACAAAAAGCUUUACUACCGGUCUGUAUUGAAAAUUUUGUCGAUAUUUUUAAAAACCUAAAUUUACAUUUUAAUCUUAACGUUACCUAGAGAAAGCAAGCCCGCCAAAACGUGAGUGGAGUAUGUUUGUCAAAUGCGUUGUUUACAACUAAGAGAAGAAAUUUGAUACAUUCGUGUCGAUCUUGAUUUCAUUCUCUGCAUGUGUCUGGGAACUUUCUUAUCAUCAGCUGUAUGUGAACUUUCUUUAUUUAUCAAAAUCUUUCCAUACGUAUAAAUUCAGUUAUAACAGUGUAUUUUUAUUCAAAUAAAUGGAUUUUUAAAAUGGAUUAUAACAUUUUCUUUAAGUUUGAACAAGUACUUGUGGUGAAGGGUUCUUAAAGAAUUGAGAUCAAAUACCAUCAUCAAAAACACAUGGAUCCUACAGAACUAACGGAAGUAAGUACUUUUCUACUAAAGUCAACAAUUUACACCAAUCUCACAGUAACUACAAUGUUUCAAUUUGAGAUUGUAUAGCAAAUUUAGCAACGUGGCUCAAGAAAAUCCGAAAGUAAUCGAAUUAAAAGCAUGUUAAAUUCUUGUCUGUUCCAUCUGUACAUGUAGACGUGUAAAUAACCACUUUCCCCAAUACACUGUUGUUUAUUUUUAAAAUCAGAAAAAGGACACUAUCGGAUAGUGAAGUUACAUAAGUCUUCCUUUGUUGUGUAUUCGCCUUUUCUUCGUCGAAACUACAAGGGCGUAUAUACUAAUCAUUGUAAUUACUUUUCAAUGAAAAUUUAAACACUUUCUCUCCUUUGAAACCGCAAAAUUGACAUCAUCAAGUUUGCUUGGGGAUAUUUUCUCUAGGAAUACAUUGUUUUGUGUAUUGUCAUAUUCAACAUCGAAAGAGAUCAAACUUACUAAGAAAAUAAAGGGAACAUCUUAAUCUGAAAGGAGUACAAGUCAAAAUCUCAAAAUUAUAAAACUACUUGAGAUGGUUGAUGUAACAUCCUACAGAAAUUGGUUCAUACAGUUUGAGCGUCAUCAUUUUAACAUCCGCCACAUGUGAAUAUUUCAAAUGUCAUUCAAUUAUUGAAACAGGCUUGGACAAUUUGUCCGAUUGAAACAAAAUUAUGUAUGAUAGUGUUAAAUGAUCGGAAAGAAUAACAAUAAGUAUUUAAUCUGUGUUUGGAUAUAGAGAUUACAUAAGUUAUUAUAACCUGGUCAGUCAGAAGUGGUCAGUACUAUCUAAACCAUGUAAAUCCCCAAGGCAAUAUAAGUAUUUGGAGGGGAAAUUGAUUGAGAUUGUUUACCAUCCAAUGGGAGAAUUUAUUUUGAAAUUAGUGUGUUCUUUGUGAAAUAAUUGUGAAAAUGAAACGGAAAUAUGAUGUUCGAAAACAUGGGAUUGCUUUGCACAAAGUGGUGAGUUUUCUUUUCCUUCAUUAUUUACAUAUGACAUAAUAUAAAUUGCACAUUUUUAACUUGACGUCUAUUUUUUGAAUAUUUAUGGCGUAGAAGUAUGUGCAAUGUGGUUUUCCCUGCGUAAGGAAAUUUCCAUUGAUCUUUUGACUUUUUAAGGAAAUUUGUUAAAAACUUAUAAUUUAUUCUCAAGUCAUUUGAAGAAACUGUACUUCACCUGUUUGAUGGUCUAUGAUGUUUACAUAAACAUUAUGAAAUGUACAUAGAUCAGAGCGCUACAGGGGGUAAUUCAACUUAUACAAACAGUUCCAGGCAAAGUGAUAAUAUCUGGUUUGUAGAGGACUGUUUCAUUAUGAAAAUUAAAUAAUGAAUUUGUAAUGUGAUAUACGUUAUAUUCUAUGACUUCAUGUUGUGGCAGUGGAAAUAAAAAAUUCUUAUGGAAGGAAACGUUGUUUUUUUUGUUGUUGCAUCAGUUCAAACCUACAACGCACUGCCGAAAACAGGUUGAUAUUAAAAACAUGUGUUAAAUACGACAACUAGGAAGAGAUGAAUAAACCUAAAUCCUCUCCACUUGAUAUUGUAUUAUUUUCACAUGAUUUUACGAGCAGUUAACUCGGAAGCAUGUUAAGUUUCUGGUAAUUUGAGAUUAAUGAAAACGAACCUUUAGUUAUUCUGUUUUUUAAAGACAGACCUAUUUCAUCAUAUUCAUUUAUUCAAAUUUCUGCUUUGUUCUUCAUUUCAUUAAACGUAUUCUGUAUUAAACUGGAAAUGAAUACAUGAUAAAAUCAAUAAUAAUUUACCCUGGACAAACGUGUCAUUAUAGUCCUAUCUGAUAAUAGACCUAUAAAUGAACAACUUAUUAAAUACAGAGUGAUUAUAAAAUCUGUGAUCAUAUUAUACAGAUGAUAAUUCUCAGAAUUGGUUAAGAAUGUAAUAAUUGUAAAAGUAAUUUGUUGUAAAGUUACGCCUUUUAGAGAUAACGACUUUGAACAAAUUUAAUUUUGACAUUUUUCACAUCAAAUAAUCAAAAAUAUUGUUCCUCGUCUAUCAGUUUUAUUUAUUUUUUUCAUAAAGGCAUUGAAUUUAAUUUCCAGCUUGUUCGAUUGCAUUGCAACAAAACGUGAGAAUAAUAUUUAAUUUGACAAGAAAUGUUGUCUCAAUCUAUAUAUUUACAUUUAGCCAAAGCUUUCACGAGGCCAAAACCUUGGUUGACAUUUGCAAAUGAAAUUUUGCCAAAUAAUCAAUCAAAUUUUCGUUUCCAUACACUUGAUAAGCAGCGAUCCGCUAUACAAUUACACGAUGUGACUGCUUAAGCGAACAAGGUUCAGAGAAGAUUGCUCAAACAUAGCUUACUGAAGAAAUGAACAUAACGGACCUAAAUGGAACUUCAUUAACUAAAAUGAAACUGGCGAAAGAUCGUUGAUGACCAACUCUUUGUAUUUGGGUUAGUCAUGUCAGCUGUUACGAGUAGCUUGUCAACUAAAUAGAUGCGUUAUUAACAAUUUAUCGAAUCGACUUUUACAAUAAAAGACGAGUUAAGUGUUACUAAAAAGCUACAUUUAAAUGUUCUCUCUAUUAUUUGAUUACGACUAAAUCAUUUCCAUCGCAAAAACUGUGUAGAUUUUAAUAAUCCUCUGAAAUUGUUACAAUUAGUAAAAUACAAAUGAGCAGACGAUUUUUAUCUCGAAAUCGGUUAAUACCUUUAAAGCACAAAUAUAUAAUGUAUGAUGUUAAGGAAAUUGUUUCAUCUUUAUUGGGAUGAAAUAUUUUUUUCUGUCUUUGCUAAGGAAGCAUAAAUGCCAUGAUGCCCGUUGUGAAAUAUGUAGUUAUGUAACACAUUUUGGGGAUAAUAAUAAAUUAUGUUAUAAAUGCAUGUUGAGGAUAAUUGAUCAGUUAAGUGGUUAACUAAAACAACACUAUAUUGUUUAUCUUCCUAUUUAUAACGUAUCCUGGAUGAUAACCCAUGUUUGAAAUUUAGUUACGGUACCUGGGUAAAAGUUAUUCCAAAGUAUGGUUAGCCCAAGGUUGUAUGACCUCUCUAGGUUAAUCAUACCAGCAGGUGCACGAGGUGGAGAUUCCAACUAAAUUUAUCGGAAGUUGUACAGAAAAGCGACAAAUUUAAUCUGGCAAACAUUGUGGUUGUAUUGUAUUGAUGGAUGGGAUGGGUGAUAACGUGAUAAAUUCUGCACCAAUCUGAUUGAUCGACUGUUGUCCAUCGCACUUGUUUGACAAGAUUUCGAUUGAAAAUUUUAGAUUGAAAAUUUCAUAAGCAUAUGUUUUAUCAACUUCAAAUGAUAUAGUAAAAAAAGGUUAAACACUUUCUGUAGAAAAUCAAUAAAAAGUUGUAUGCAAAAACAAUAAUAAGAUUGUAAUUUGACGAAAUGCGCUUUUUGAGACAUUUAAUGAAUAGUCUCUUAAUUAUCGUUUUUUGAAAUCACUUUUUUUAUUAGCAAGAGUCAUCAUAUUGACAAAUUGAGACACAAUUGACAAGGGUUAACAGAUGGCUUUAUGUAUUUUAGUAUGUUUACUAAUGUAUAAACCUCUUCACUACUUCCGUUCUAAGCUAUUACCCAGCAAACUGUAAGUGCUCGUUUAACGAUUUCGUUCUAACCACUGUCUAGAAUGCUGUUUUUACUGCUCCAGUUAAUAUAAAUACAUCCAUCUAUUUUGUAAUUUUGUAAUAUACGUGUUAUGCAAACUGUUUUCAUACAAUUACAGAGAACUUGUUUAAUUUUUUUAUAGCAGAAAUGUAAAAAUUGUCACGCCAAAACAUGUAAUAGAAAACAAGUUUAAAACAUCCUUUCGUGAAAAAAGGACAAUUUAUACAGAAAUACGAAGACAUAUAUAGCAAUGGCUUAACCGAUAUUCAAAACGCUUUGGUAGGAAACACCACGCACAUUCAGAGUUAAAAUAUGGAUUGAUUGAUUGGUGACAUAUAAACGUCCAGUGACAAAUGUCACUGUUUAAGCAUAUUCAGGAUGAGUCUAAACUUUAACAACAAUUCAAUCGGUAAUGUACAAACUCACAAUUUGAAAGUCAACAGAAAGACAUAUAUCUCGGGUUAAACACAUUCAUAUGACUCCAAACCGACCAGUUUUUGCUUUGUCUUCUAAUGCCACACCCUAGCGGAGAAGCAGCAUGUGCCAAUUUUAGAGUGUUUUAAGCAAACCUUUGACAGAACCUACGAACUCCUGCACUUGAACGGUAUGAAGAGAACACCUAGACGGUUUCAAAAGUCGGAAUGUAUGCAAUCAUGUGGAAAAUAUAUUUAAAAUAACAUCGAAAGAAUAGCCAUUACAAUCGAAUUUAAGUUUUUAGUUUAGGACAAAGAAAAUUAGCUUUGCAAAGUAUUGAAUCACUUAUAAGCUGAGAGGCUUACAGCUCACCAGGAGUGCUAUCGACACGUUAAGGACAAAAAGAGCCAAGAUGAUCAACUAAGCCAAGCUUUGUCUAUAUUUUUCUUAAGAACUACUAAAAAUAAUGCAUCAUCAGAGAAUGCAUGAUAUAAAAAAAAUUAUUCGAAAAGCAUUAACCUCUAGGAAGAUUGAUACUCUAGAGGACAAAUAGUCACGAAAUUAACGAAGAUUUGAAAAAAUGUAUCCGGACUUAGCCACACCUAGUUAAAACACGUUAUUUUAAUUAUUUUAUCCAGAUCCUUAAAACGAAUUUGAAAUCCGUUUCCUGAGAUCACGUCAGGAUUUGUAACACUGCUGAAAUUCUGUCGCUCCAUUUCACAAUACAGGCAGAUUUGAAAUAAGAUUAACUCUGUCUUAAAUAAAGUUUCCGCAGAAAACGUCUUUCCAUGAAAAGACAUUUAAACAAUUGUCAUGCGAACAUAUUUCGUUUGCUUAAGAAAAAUAUCUUUGUAUUGAUGUUGACAAGGUUUUUCCAUUAAAUUUAAUUCUGGUGACUACGACUACUGAACCUCGUACCAAAUCCCUUCUAAGUAUUUCCGGUAAAUGUUCGGUAUCAUAGUAACACAUCGACAGGCUUUGUGAUUGACAUUUAAUCCUCUUAGUGAAGGAAAACAUGAAGUUUUCUGUAAACAAAAAAAUAAUCUUAUUCAGUCAGAUUGAUACAAAUAAUAUUUUUGUAUUAUUUAAUAAAUCGCGUUUUCCAAAUGACCUGAGUAACUUGAUUUUAGAUUAUGAAAGAAACCUACGACAUUUCAUCACACAGGUACAAUUAUGUUAGUUACAGGUAAUAGCGGAAAUCAUUUGUAUUUCAUUGUCAUCUUAAAUUGCAAAGGUGUGCACUUAAGGUGGGGCUUACACAUUAUAAAAUCAUUUACAAAAUACUUUGAAUACCUGUGUGCAAAUAUGAACUUUUGACUCCUAUAGGCAGUGUGAGUUUUUUCGUUUUCAAUACGAAAAUUUAAUAUCAAUAAAUAUUUUGUGUAUUAAAUCUUAUCUUGCUACACUGUGAAGUAUACCAUAUCCGAGGAGGCUGUACAUAGGUCACACCAUCCUGAGCGUGAUCAACGUUGUUAAUUGGUCAUAUGGUAAGAGGCCAAAUCAUACGUGUAAUUGCUUAAUCAUUUAUGAAGACACAUCCGUUUCUAUUUUCAGCCAUUAAAGAAAUCUUUAUCUAACAGUGCAGACAACAGCAUAAACCACCAUAAAAAGCAACGACUUUAUAUGGACAGUUCUACACACAGGGCAAUACCAAGAAAAAGAA
rnacentral:lncRNA from 1 species